AGCCCUGGAAGUGCGCGGUUGCUAGUGAUCCAACGUGGACCCAAUGCUCCCAGUAUUAGCCGUGCUGGAGGAAACAAACCUGGAUCCGAUCAACCCGGAUGUUAACGGCAAUUGACCCACUACCAACACUACCGUCCGGUGGCCCGGCCGCCUGCUUUUGAGGAAUUCGAGAGAGCUAAGAAUGGUUUUUACAGUUUGAAGCGGGGUGAGGCGGGAGGAUCAAGACAGAAUUUCAUGAUAGAUGAAAAUUAUAUGAAGUUAAAAUUUUAGUGUCACAAAGUUUUGGUAGAGUACAGCCACAUUCUUUCCUUUCUAUUGUCUGGCUGCUUUCAUAUUAGAAGAAGAAACCUGUUCCUCCCCAAAUACGAUAUAUUUAACCAGCUGGCUCUUUGGGCAAAGUGUUUGCUAUACACUUGUUCUAAACUAACUAAUGUUUAAGUUAUAGGUUCUCAUUAACAGAAGAAAAUGGUAAGUCCACGUUUGCUUAUUGGAGAGUAUCUCACUUAGCCUUAGCCUCCCAAGUACAGAAAUUUUGGCCAUGUACCACCAAGCUACCUUUAACAAGUUUCCUUUCAUUUAUUUAUUUUGAGACUGGAUCUUUGUAUGUAGCCCUGGCUCUCCUGGAGCUUUCUAUGUAGGACAGACUGGCCUUGAGUUCACAGAGAUCUGCCUGCCUCUGUGCUGGGACUAAAGACACAAAGCUUUACUCUGUUGUUGAAGGGCUCUGGCAGGGCCGAGCAUAGCAAACAUGGCUUGCCCUUUCCCUAUUUCCUCUUUCUUGCUAAUAACGUUAGAUUAUAUUCUUAAUUGUAGCCACCAAGCUCUGUUCCCUUAUUUGGCCACUUCCUCCUGAGGCUAAUCACCAAGCUCCAGCUAUCAAAAUAAUGAAAUUCAGCAAUCAAAGCCCCCUUUUGGCUGCCCUAAUUAAAAUACCCAGCCCCCACCCCCAAAACCCAUCCAAAACACACCACCAAACCCUAGACCGUUCUAGUACCAACCGGCCUCCUCUUAAAAAUCACACCCACAGGGGCUGGAGAGAUGGCUCAGAGGUUAAGAGCAUUGGCUGCUCUUCCAGAGGUCAUGAGUUCAAUUCCCAGCAACCACAUGGUGCUCAUAAGCCAUCUGGUUUAUGAAAUCUGGUGCCCUCUUCUGGUGUGCAGGUGUACAUGCAAACACAUAUUGUAUACAUAAUAAAUAAAUAAAUCUUAAAAAAAAUCACACCUGCAAAGUCAUUUGCUCCUGUUUUCUGCCACUUCUCCAGAAGUGAAAUCAGAAAUCAGCCACUUCUCCACAUAAUAAAAGAUUUCUCUUUGCUAAGCAAAUGUUCUACCACUGAUCCAUAUCCUUACUUAUUUUAGAUAGAGCAUUUGGACUUUCCUGAGGUGACUUUUAAAAACUUUACUAAUCAAAUGUGUGUGCACACACGUGUAUGCAUGUGUGCCUAGAGCAGCACACACAUACACGUGCGAGCCAGUGGACAAUUUGAUGGAGUUGGUUUUCUCAUCCCACCUGCUCAGCUUUCCAGGCUUGCAAGGCGAGUGUCUUGACCAGCUGAGCCAUCUCACUGCCCCUUGGGGAGACUUUUAAGGUGAAACUUGAACUGAGAGGCAGGAGCACAGUGAGGCAGAAAUGGAGCACAUGAAGUCAGACAGGAAAGGGGAGAAGUGGCCACGCCACACCAGGGCCUGCAAGCUUUGUGGAAACUUGGAGGCUUUGAGAAGCAACCGUGGGAUUAUAACCAGGAAGUUACAUGGUCACAGUUACAUUACUCUUACUCUGUUUUUAACUUUUGCGAUUAUAUUUUAAUUACAACCUUUCUGUCUUCCCUUUCCCUCCCAUAAGCCCCUUCCCACUCUUCUUCAAACUUAUGGCCUGUUUUUUUUUUCUUUAAUCAAUUGUGAUUGCAUGCUUAUAUGUAUUUGUAUAUACAUAUAUUCCUAAAUAUAACCUGUGGAGUCCAUAUGAUGUUACUUGUAUGUGUGUUCUUAGGGCUGACCUCUUGGCACUGGGCAAGCAGUUGGUGUGCCUUUCGGGGAGGAGGGCCACCCCUGCUACUCCAGCAUUGCUCAGUCACAUGCAGUUCUUUGUUGCAGGGUUACAGUCUUGUGGGCUUUUCCCUGGGCAGUGUGACGUGUGCAUUGGUGUUCUCCCUGUUCGGCUCACAUCCGGGCGGUCAAGUUUUUGAGACUUUGUGGGUGUAGCUCCUGAUGUUAUGAGGAGACACAAUCUAGAACAAACUCCGUGAUCCUAUGGCUCUCACAGUAUUUCUGCCUCUGUUGCAGCACGGUCUGGUCCUUCGCAUUUAGUUAAUUGCUCGUCCCCUGAGAUCUCUGCUGUUCUUCAAGCAGACGCUAACGUAUACCAAGUGAUGCUGUGUUACCUUGCCUCCAAAUUAUUCCCAAGUGUGGCCAAUAAAAAAAAGUGCCCACAGGUGAGGUAGGCAGAGCUAAGGUUUGAAAGCUUGGAAGACAGAGGACCACAGGAGGGAGAAGAGAAGAAGGAAGACAGAAGAGAAGAAGAAGAAAGAGAGUCGCCAGGGGUUAGCAUAAAGAAGAACCAGGAGGAGCCUAGCUCUGAGGAUCGCUGGUGGAGAGAAGCCCAGAUGGGAAUCAUUAAAGCAAAUGGCAUGAGAUGCAGAGCUGGGAGACAACAAGGUUCCUGCCUUGCUUGAGUUCCUGUCCUGACUCCCUUUGAUGAUGAACUGUGAUGUCGAGAAGAAGUCCCAGAAGUAACUGGGCCAGAGCACAUAACCAUCAGAACGGUAAGAGCUGUGGCAAGCCGUACCUGUCUCUCUCAAUAAAUGCUCUGGAAACAUUAGCCGAUGAUGUCGGUGACAAACUCAAGCUCUGACGACACUGGAUAGGACUCCUCUUUUCACAUGGUAAUAGAUUUUAGAAUUAUCCCUCUUGACAGCUCUCUGGAUGGGGGAAAUGAGC